rnacentral:tRNA from 1 species
GCGGAAGUAGCUCACUUGGUAGAGCAUCAGCCUUCCAAGCUGAGGGUCGCGGGUUUGAACCCCGUCUUCCGCU